AGCGAACGCUGGCGGCAGGCUUAACACAUGCAAGUCGAGCGGGCAUAGCAAUAUGUCAGCGGCAGACGGGUGAGUAACGCGUGGGAACGUACCUUUUGGUUCGGAACAACUGAGGGAAACUUCAGCUAAUACCGGAUAAGCCCUUACGGGGAAAGAUUUAUCGCCGAAAGAUCGGCCCGCGUCUGAUUAGCUAGUUGGUGAGGUAAUGGCUCACCAAGGCGACGAUCAGUAGCUGGUCUGAGAGGAUGAUCAGUCACAUUGGGACUGAGACACGGCCCAAACUCCUACGGGAAGCAGCAGUGGGGAAUAUUGGACAAUGGGCGCAAGCCUGAUCCAGCCAUGCCGCGUGAGUGAUGAAGGCCCUAGGGUUGUAAAGCUCUUUUGUGCGGGAAGAUAAUGACGGUACCGCAAGAAUAAGCCCCGGCUAACUUCGUG
rnacentral:rRNA from 1 species